rnacentral:antisense_RNA from 1 species
GCCAUCAGGAGGACUGAAACUGUAAACACAAGCUGGUAUUUUGGUGUGAUCACGCUAAUAUGGCGGUUUGUGAGGUCAAGGGGUGGAAGUUACAGGUAGGUAAUAUAUCUUUAACCAAAGUUGUGCUAGAUGGGGUCUUCAAGGUUAUUUGGAUUUUGAAGUACUAAGAAAAUAUCCUCAGUAGAAAAAUAUCAGAAAUGGCAUUCCAACUCACCCUACCAAGGACAAGAAGCAGAUCAUUAGGAACAGAUAUAUUGGAGCUUGGCCCCGUAAAAACAUAGGAUAGCUAACAAAUACAUAAAAUUAGUUGUAUAGCUUCAUUUAUUCCUUCAUAGAGAUACAGCUCCCGGCAACCACCAUUCUACUUGAUGUCUCUAUGAAUCUGACUACUCUAGGUACCUCAGAUGAGUGGAAUUAUGCAGUAUUUGUCCUUUCAUGUGUACAACUAAUUUGACAGGCAGUAUGAUAAGGAACAAUCUGAAUGACACGUAAACAGGAGGGGGUAAAUUCCAAGCACAGCCUGAAUGAGAAGUAUAACUCAUUUCCCGUAACCUAGAUGCCUUUUUAACACAUCUAUGCAGUCUCCAUGUGAAACCAGGUGCUGUUCCCAAAGGAGAAAACACUGCCCUCCAGUGGUCUUCAAUGAAGAAAUGGAAAUAGUUUCAGGUGGAAACCAGGCUUCUUGGAAGAAUUCAAACUAUGCCAAAUGGUCUGAUUUCACCAUAGAGAAUGUUAUACUAUUAAUUGCCAAUUUGCAUAUGUGUGCAGCUGCUGUUUUGGCUCUGAACUCAAUCCGAUAAGCUUGCUGGAGGUAUCGCAGAGCACUUGGCAGCUUUCCUAUUUGAAAAGAAAGCCUCUCCCCUCUACAGAACAGCUGAUCGUCUAUCAGCGAUAGACCCUGAUGGCGUGAAUUACAAUUACACUACUUUUCACACUAAAUCUGGGUGAUAGCUACUUGGAAAGAAGUUUCAUCAUUUUUUACCACAAACUGGAAAAAGAAUUACAUGGUCAUGCUGUGCUUUUAAAGGCAGUUUGGUUCACUUCUGUCUAUUUAACACCUAAUUCCAAGAAGUCCAUAGGCAUCUAGAGAUCUGAA